AUUGAACGCUGGCGGCAUGCCUUACACAUGCAAGUCGAACGGCAGCACGGGAGCAAUCCUGGUGGCGAGUGGCGAACGGGUGAGUAAUAUAUCGGAACGUGCCCAGUCGUGGGGAUAACGUAGCGAAAGCUACGCUAAUACCGCAUACGAUCUAUGGAUGAAAGCGGGGGAUCGCAAGACCUCGCGCGAUUGGAGCGGCCGAUAUCAGAUUAGGUAGUUGGUGAGGUAAAGGCUCACCAAGCCGACGAUCUGUAGCUGGUCUGAGAGGACGACCAGCCACACUGGGACUGAGACACGGCCCAGACUCCUACGGAGGCAGCAGUGGGAAUUUUGGACAAUGGGCGCAAGCCCUGAUCCAGC
rnacentral:rRNA from 1 species